UGUUCUUCGGCUGUGUCUGUGCAUUCCAUCGGAUCCAGGAGUGACGCGGCAUCCCUGCGGAGAGGGACAGCGCUUCAACUCACAGAUCCGCCCGUGACAGAGAUGUAACAAUAAUGUACAUCUCUAUGCCCUGACCGAAUUCAAGCCAAGAACAAGUUCUACCUGUGGAUCUUAAAAAAACAGAACAUGGCUCCCCUUUGUUACCUCACAGAUUUCAGGCUGGAUGGGUCAUGUUAUGAUACACGUACUCAUUCUUUUCUUCAAGCAGAGUAAUGUUUGUACUCAGUGUGCUGUCACCUGACUCAGCGGGAUAUAGUCUGGCUACUCACUAGGUCAUUUCAAAACAGACUCUUUCUUGAGCUACCAGCUGAACGUCAAAUGUCACAGAGGGUCUCAAAAACCUGGGUCUUUUUCUCAAAAGCCAUCAGGUAUCUAUUAUUCAGUGUGCGGAAAAUUUAUUCUUCUCUAUCCUGCUAAUUAUUAGUUAUCCCCCC